AGCUUUCAUGUUCAUCAAGGCGUGAAGAAAUGUGUAAAACUGCACAGCGAUAGUAUGUUCCAAGACUUUCUCACUGAAGGAGGAUCCCCACCCGCAAACAGCAGGAAACGUAUGGCUUGGACAUUAUUUCUCUCUUUCCUAGCCUGAGAGACCAGUUUUCAACAAAGGGCUAUGAGCAUUUCUGAGUU